GCCUUAUGGGACCAAUGCUUCCAAAGUGCCUCUUGUGAAAACUGGCUUGAAACCUGGCUUUGCAGGGUUCACAGCUUUGCAGGUGAGCAAGGAAUGUCAUUUCCCAGCAGGUUCUGGAAACUUAGGAUAUUUGUGGGAUCUCAAGGAAAAAGGAAUGCCUGCCAAAUCGAUAGGUACUGCAUGUGAAAUCCGAUGUGAGUUUUUGACUUGGCUUCUCAUCCUCAAGAGGCUUUGAAAAGUUCAACUUGACAUUCUUUAUGAAAACUUCCAGCAAAGCAAAUAUAAGAAAAUCGAUAUGUAGAUUGCCACUUUUACUGUACCUAUGCAAAUAACAAGCCAAAUCUCAUGAGAUUAGCCUUAAUUAGUGAUCAAGAAUAAUCUUUCUUUGAGAUUAUCUUUGAUCAAAAGGGGAGAAGUAACUGUAGAAAGAAAAUUUGUGUUUCUGUGGGAAAUUAUGGCACAUCCUUCUGGAUUAGCAGAUUCUGAUUCUGUUUAUUUUUGUUUGAGCUGUAUAAUGCCUCUUUGUAAACUGCAGGUAACUGAUAGAUAUGCAAACUUUGUAGAUAAGCUUUCUCUCUCAUUGUGGAAACUCUAGUUUGGCAUUUACCUUGCAUAGAUUGUUAACCUUGCACUGACUGUCAACCUUUACCAGAUUUUCAAUUAUUCCCGUUUCCUUCAGCAUCUGGCUACAAACUAACAGCCUUGAAAAGAAUGAUUCCAUUUUUAUUUCUACCUCUUGACUUGUAGUCACCGGGAACUAAAAUCUGCCUAGAUUCUUAUUGACGUUCUAGGUUGCCCUGUUGCUGGUCUUUACCCCCUAGGAUUUGAAGAAUCACUGCAAGUUCAAGUCUGAGGAUUUGUUAUAAGCCUAGAAGAACUUAUUAUCAUUCCAGCUAACCAUUCAUGUUCCAACUAUCUCUAUGGAUAAGCCACUCUUUGGACUACUCAGAAAGUUUGGUAAAAUGCUGAGGUCAUGCACGCCUUUAUUGGAUAAGUGACCAAUGCUGUGGAUGACAUUACCAAUAUGAUCAACAUCUUCAAAAACUCAUUUUCUUGGAAAUUCCUUCAAGAAGAUCUGCUCUGCCUAUCACCACAGACUCUAGCCUUCAGCUGGGGCAGAACCCCCUGUGCCUUACUAUUUGCCGCUUGUCAAGUCCACAAUGAUGUUGGCAAGUCAGCUCCAGGUCUGAAAUCUACUCUCUUUGUGGGAGAAUAGAUCAAAAGGGCCUUGACUGCAUGCCAAGAUUAAUUUGAAUUUUUCCUGUGAUAAGAGAUGGACGAAGAAGAGUCACUGAUGUGUUUUAAGUAUGAAUGGAGCAUAGCUCACUAUCAUUUUGGCAUCGAUGUGGAGAAUGGAUGGACAAGGGUGAUAUUAGUUAGAAGACUGUACAAGAUUCCAGUAGAGGGAUGAUGGUGGCCUUGGACUCAGAUUUAGGGUCUGGCCAAAAGGCAAGGAAGACUCCAAGGCAGCAUCAGCAAUAAUUCCUUCAGCUAAACCCACACUGGCAAGGUGCUGAUCCAGAGUAUAAUUCCCCGUGCUGAAGCUUGGUUGGACAAAACAGCUUUGGAUUCAGGACCAUUUCCCAUCAAGAAAAAUGGAGUGAACUAACCACAAUCAGCAUGUCCCACAGAAAACAAAUGCCUCUACAGCAACAGCGUUUUCAACUGGCAGGGGAACUCUUUCUAGAAGACUUUGCUUUAUUCUCAUAAGCUGACCCUGAAAAUCAAGUAUCUGGCUCCUGUUACCCCUGUGAUGGAGGAGAGCAUUCUUGGGAAUAGAUGUCAAGUGAACCAACCUAUGAGAUUUGCCUCUAUUAGGAAGACAACUACUUCAUGUCUUUGAAGUGAGAGAUCCGCAGAACUUGUUUUCUGAGCACUGGUAAUGACCUUGCUGAUCAAAAACAGGAUGCUGUAAAGAAACCUGCUGAAACCAGCAGAUGAAUUUUCAGUAUGCAGAGGAUUUGAGGAAAAAAUUAAAACAACACCAACAGCUCAGUUUCUUACUAGAGUCUGCCGAAUUAGAAUUGGAUGCAACUGUGGCCCACAGGAUAUAUGCAAUUUCAUGCUAACUAUUUGCUGGAGAGGAAGGAGGAGUCUAAUUGACAUGUAUGUUGCAUUCACUUAUUCUGAGGCAUGAAUGAUUGACAAGGCACAGUACAGAGUCCUCACAG